AACGUAGGUACCGAGCGUUAUCCGGAUUUACUGGGCGUAAAGCGCGUUCAGGCGGCUUAGCAAGUCGGGCAUGAAAUCUCUCGGCUCAACCGGGAGGGGCUGUCCGAUACUGCUGGGCUUGAGGGCAGUAGAGGGUGGUGGAAUUCCGGGUGUAGUGGUGAAAUGCGUAGAGAUCCGGAGGAACACCAGUGGCGAAAGCGGCCACCUGGACUGUACCUGACGCUCAAACGCGAAAGCUAGGGGAGCGAACGGG
rnacentral:rRNA from 1 species